rnacentral:pre_miRNA from 1 species
AGGAGCAACAACAGUGGUGGUGGCCAGCUCUCCAGCCUUGGAUUCAGCUCCUGCAGUCACUACCGGAGCUCUCAGUCUGCAGGGGCCUGGAUGCUCCAGGGCGGG